rnacentral:lncRNA from 1 species
CACACACAAGUGAAUGCGUCUCGAAUUUUAAGUACUACAGCACAGCAUUAGUUAGUGUGGAAAAUGAUCGGGUAUGUGAAAGUGGUCUCUAGAAAUAAAAAAAACCGCGACUGGUUAGUUACAUGACGGGUUUCCAUUCAAGUGUUGUGUGUUUAUUGACUUCUUUCUUUAAAUACAUACAACAACAACGGUGAUAAUUCCUGUAAUUAUUAUUCAAGUGUAUUUAUAAUUGUGAGCGAUCAAAAGUGUAAAAAUAAAACGUCGGUAGUGGAUUGCGUCUAAUAGGAGGCAUCGUUUUUUCGUAAUGCGGUUAAUUUGAUAUCAAGGGAGCGUCCAGCGAUGAAUGGAACCAUUAUCAGUCGAAAAUUAACGUGAUACGGUGCACAUCUAGUUUUCCCGCGUGACAAAUGAAAUUUUCGAGGUUUUUCUCUAAAAUGGCGGACACCGAGAACGAGGAAAAAGAAAA